GGGGAAACAAAUUCUACCCUAUUUUACCCUCCCAGAGAGGAAUGUGAGGAGCCCUGGAAAGGCAAAGAAGGUGUCAUGUCAUAAAAGAAGGCUGGAUAGAAUACGUUUCAUCCUGGGAAGAAACAUCUGUCAGAACUGGUUAACAAGUGCGGUUUGUGAGACCGGUAUUAGGUUCAUCAAUAGCCCUUCUCUAGAGAAGUGGUUCCGUGCUCUUCCUCAGAAGGCAACGGAGAGUAUGAGACUCUACCGCUUGUGUUGGGGGAGAGCCUGGUGUGAUAGAAGACAGGUGAGUUUAGACACCAUACCAUCCAUGGCUGGUAAAGAGUCAGAAGAUGUCCCCUCUCCAACCCCUCACCCCCCAUACUUCAGUUAUAACAGCUUCAGGUCAGGGCAGGAGGCACACAGCUCAGGAGGGGGCAAUGACAGCAGUUAAAAGGGGGGGGGGGCAGUCCAAGAGACAAGCAAGAUUGCUUAUGGUUAAUUAAGCAGGCUCCAAAAUCAUCUGCCUGAAAAUGAAGGCUGGCUCCACCACUCAAAAUCACUGUGACCUUGGGCAAACUGUGUGAUGCCUGUCAUUCUCAGUUUACUGGUGAUAAGGGGAGUUUCCGUCGUGGCUCAGUGGUUAACGAACUUGACUAUCACCCAUGAGGACACAGGUUUGAUCCUGGCCUUGCUCAGAAGGUUAAGAAUCUGCCAUUGCCAUAGAUUGCAGACCCAGCUCGGAUCCCGAGUUGCUGUGGCUGUGAUGUAGCAACAUUGGAUCCUUAACCCACUGAGUGAGGCCAGGGAUCAAACCCACAUCCUCACAGACUCAAUGUCGGGUCCUUCACUCACUAAGCCACAAUGGGAACUUCUACUAGAAUAUUUUAAAUCACAUCUCUAUUAGACAGUGCUGGACUACAAGGUAUUUGUCCUAUUAAGUAUAUCUUUAGCAUUUCCACACACACUUCAUUACGUGUCUGGGAAUGCAGGAGAGAAGGAAUUCUUUUCUCCAUAACUUGGAGAAACUGAGAACUGAAGUGAUUGGCCCAGUGCCCUUCUCAAGGAAACACCUAUCCGUGUGAAAGGAGAAAAAUUCAAACAGGACAGAAAGCUUCCCAAUAAAAGGCAGCCGUCUUUCUCCCCACCCCACACACUGCAGGCAAAUGCCUCCUUUUCCUGGGCAGCACCCCCACCAGAACAACGCACAUCCAUAAAAGAGGUAGCAGGUCUAAGAGUCACUCAAUUAUCCAAGCAAAGUCUAUAGCUCAGAAAAAGAGCUUGGGGUUCUUUCCAGAGGGAGGGAAGAGCCAGCCUUGAGGAUGUGAGGGUGUCUGACCUCAGUCAGCUUUCUCCACAAUGGGAUCUUUUGGGGCCACAGCAGCCGCCUGCUUGGCCACGCAGGAUAAUGGACUAUGAGUAAGCCUCCUUGUAUCAAGAUCCUCUCAACUUUUUGAACCAGGGAUCCCUCUCAGAAGAGAAUUCGGUCUUCCCAAAGUGUGAGGUCAAUUUAUCAAAAAUAAAGAAAACUGAAGAUCACAGCAAGUCUCCAAUAUUACAAGAAAGAUUAACUCCUAGCUUGGCGAGCUUUUUUCUGUAAAGGACCAGAUACUAAAUAUUGGAGGUUCUGGGGACUCUGGUCUCUGUUGCAACUCAUUACCUCUGCCCGUAGUUGCACUAAAGCAAAAUACAAUAUUAUAAACAAUACACAAACGAAUGCAGAGAGUUGUGUCCCAAUAAAACAUUAUUGACAAAAACAGACAGAGGGCCAGUUGUGCCAAAUGACUGUAGUUUGCCAAGCCUUGGAUGAAGGUUUCUAGCUGAAAGCUCAAUCAAGUCACAAAGAGCCAACAAAAUUUCCACAAGAAGAGGAAACACAGAUUAACACUGAGUGACAUUAUCCAUCAACAAGGGCAGUUCAAGGACCAUCUGGGGGCCAGAAAUGCAGGGGAAAACAAGACUGCAAGCAGACGCCUGCACUGCCACAAAACAACGUCGCUAGUGGGAUGGCAGUCCUGUGAGGGUAUCACAAGGGCUCACCUUGAGAUGUUGGGCGGAGAAAGGAAAGGAAAGGAGCCAGACAAGGCUGUGAACACCAGUGCAGGUGGUGUUCUCCACAGUGGACACCUGCACAUAUUUAGCUGAAAAGAUGAGGAAUGAUUUGGUCACUUGGGAAAUGGGAGGAUUUGGUACCAUGAGAGCUGAAAAGGGUUGCCUGGACAAGAAGGAGGCACACUUUUUAUUUUAACAAAGGAAGGAGGAGUUGGCCGCAGGCUCACGGUUACAGUCUGUUUCUCUGUGCUCCCUGCUUUUGUGAUCCGCUGGCCUAGGCCCUGCUCUCCCCCAUCACCACCAGCCUUGGUCAUCAGAGCUUAGUGGAAACUGGCCUUUCUUGAGAAAGAGGAAUCGCCGUCUACCAUCUUCCAUCUCCGUAGUGGUGCCCCCGUGUGCUCCUAAGAGAAGUUGUACAGUGUGAAUCUCCCCAGAACACCAGACCAGAGCCAAGGAAGCAUGUAGGUCCCAGAAUAUAUGUCAGGGCUACAGGGCUGCUUGAUGACCCAGCCUUGGUUUUAGCAUGGAUUAAAAACCAUCUCUAUUUCAGAGGCCACCUGGCAAAAUGCUGGUCUCCCACGUGAGGGAUGAGCAUGAAAUAUGGCUGCUGGUGGUUACUCUGAGUGUCUGCUGUCACAGGAGAAUGGAGACGACUGAUGUGCCUGACUAAAGCUGGGUCUGCAUUCAAGAUAAAUGGCCCAGCAAGGUGAGGUUUGAUGAUGAAUGAAUUGGGAUUAGCACUGCAAGCGUGAUGGAGAAAGGCUUUCUAUUCCUGACACUUAAAAUCAUUACUCUUGGUUAACAUCUGCCACGAUUAAUCACUCCACCCCCGUGUUUGCUCUACUUUGUUUGGAUCUCAAUUUGAGGGCUGAUUUUAGACUCCCGCCCAUUACCCAUAGUGUAUAAAAGCCUGUCUUUCCACUGGACGGUGACUCUUUUGAAAGCAGGGAAUGUGUGAACUAAUUCUGUGUCAUUAGGAAACUGCAGAAUUUCUGUACAACAGCGGUUCAGGGACGGCAAUCGCAGGCGAGGCAUAAGGCCAGCGUGUGUGGGCUGAACCUGCAGACGCAUCUUCUUUUCGCUCUUACGUUUCCUUCGGUACCUUCAUGUGGUGGUGGAAGGGGAAGAGCAAAGCUCUGAUGAGCCCAAGAGCCUGGGCCUCCGACUGGUCCCCAAACGCCUUGUACAUUUGUGGUUGGAUGGACCAUGUUAAUGUUUGACCCGGAUUUCUUUAAACAGGAAGGGGAGGAAGGAAGCGUUUUUUCACGCCACACCCCAUUCUCACGUGAGGAGUCGCUUCGCAGGCUUGGAAGAGCUCCUCGGAUGAGGUCAGGUGACCACACCCUCUAACACCGAGAGCUUCCAUCUGGAGCUGCCGAGUGUGGCUGCGGUCUUUAGGGCUGGGAGCUCGACGUGGCUGCGUCACUCAGCUCAGUGGGGAAGAGAGGGAUAAAGGGGCAGGAGGAAAGCCCAGGCCGACCAGCUAGAACGGGCAGCCCGGCAAAGGCUUUGAAAGAAUGAAUCCCACACCUCCCUACACACACACACACACACACACACACACACGCGCACACGCACACGCACACGCACAGGCACCUCCUCUGGGGGUGCAGUUGAACGUGGAUUUCCAAGAGUGAAAUCCCUCAGGACCAGGUGCAUCUCUUUCCCAAGAUGUGCACGCGGGAACCCUGCUCCAGACCCAGCCACUGAACUACAAAGGCGUGUGUUCCUGGCGUGGGUGUGCAGGGACUGGGCUGGGGCAGGGAAGCGGCUCCCCAGCCGGGGACUCCACUUCCCAGCAUCUCUGCCCUGAGAGGGUCCACACGGCUAGUUCUUUCCCACAGAAUGCGAGUGAGCUGAGAUCUGACCUUCUGUAAUGAAGUGGUUAAAAACUGGGGGCUCAAUCCUCUAGGUCAGAAGUUGGCAAUUUUUUUUUUCCAGUAUAAGUUUUUCAGGCUAUUGGUCUCUAUGACAACUACCCAACUCUGC
rnacentral:lncRNA from 9 species